CGGUAUCGACUCCUGGGUCCUCAGUCCCUCCCGCGCCGUCCACGGAGGUGAAGCUCUGUAUCUGCAUUUGCCGCCUCCCGCCUCCACCGCCCUCAUUGCCUCUACCCGCCUCAUAAUCUCCGUCGUUGUGAACUGUGGUUAAUCAGCCGGUUGAGCUGCCCUCGCCGAUCGAUCGAAGAGAGUACAUCCGUUGUCAUAUUUCUGUUUUCCUUGAGUUCUCAUCUUCUCUCCCUUUCGCCGAACGAGACCUUUACGAUUUAAGACGAAGAAGACUGACUUUAAAUUUGCUUUCUGGAUUCCUUCCCUUAACAGCAAUCACUAGUAGACACAAGAACCCUAAAACAAGGACCAGUAAUGGGCAAGACUAGUGCAAGACCAGGAUCAAAAGCUGAGCGCAAGUUUGAAAAGAAGCUCGAAUUUUAUGGCAGUAAGUUUUUUUUUU